GCACAUGCUGUGAGCUCGAUGAGUAGGGCGGGACACGUGGUAUCCUGUCUGAAUAUGGGGGGACCAUCCUCCAAGGCUAAAUACUCCUGACUGACCGAUAGUGAACCAGUACCGUGAGGGAAAGGCGAAAAGAACCCCGGCGAGGGGAGUGAAAAAGAACCUGAAACCGUGUACGUACAAGCAGUGGGAGCACGCUUAGGCGUGUGACUGCGUACCUUUUGUAUAAUGGGUCAGCGACUUAUAUUCUGUAGCAAGGUUAACCGAAUAGGGGAGCCGAAGGGAAACCGAGUCUUAACUGGGCGUUAAGUUGCAGGGUAUAGACCCGAAACCCGGUGAUCUAGCCAUGGGCAGGUUGAAGGUUGGGUAACACUAACUGGAGGACCGAACCGACUAAUGUUGAAAAAUUAGCGGAUGACUUGUGGCUGGGGGUGAAAGGCCAAUCAAACCGGGAGAUAGCUGGUUCUCCCCGAAAGCUAUUUAGGUAGCGCCUCGUGAAUUCAUCUCCGGGGGUAGAGCACUGUUUCGGCAAGGGGGUCAUCCCGACUUACCAACCCGAUGCAAACUGCGAAUACCGGAGAAUGUUAUCACGGGAGACACACGGCGGGUGCUAACGUCCGUCGUGAAGAGGGAAACAACCCAGACCGCCAGCUAAGGUCCCAAAGUCAUGGUUAAGUGGGAAACGAUGUGGGAAGGCCCAGACAGCCAGGAUGUUGGCUUAGAAGCAGCCAUCAUUUAAAGAAAGCGUAAUAGCUCACUGGUCGAGUCGGCCUGCGCGGAAGAUGUAACGGGGCUAAACCAUGCACCGAAGCUGCGGCAGCGACGCUGAUGCGUUGUUGGGUAGGGGAGCGUUCUGUAAGCCUGCGAAGGUGUGCUGUGAGGCAUGCUGGAGGUAUCAGAAGUGCGAAUGCUGACAUAAGUAACGAUAAAGCGGGUGAAAAGCCCGCUCGCCGGAAGACCAAGGGUUCCUGUCCAACGUUAAUCGGGGCAGGGUGAGUCGACCCCUAAGGCGAGGCCGAAAGGCGUAGUCGAUGGGAAACAGGUUAAUAUUCCUGUACUUGGUGUUACUGCGAAGGGGGGACGGAGAAGGCUAUGUUGGCCGGGCGACGGUUGUCCCGGUUUAAGCGUGUAGGCUGGUUUUCCAGGCAAAUCCGGAAAAUCAAGGCUGAGGCGUGAUGACG
rnacentral:rRNA from 1 species